AAAGGGUGCGUAGGCGGGUAGGUAAGUCAGUGGUGAAAUCCUGGAGCUCAACUCCAGAACUGCCAUUGAUACUAUCUAUCUUGAAUAUUGUGGAGGUAAGCGGAAUAUGUCAUGUAGCGGUGAAAUGCUUAGAUAUGACAUAGAACACCCAUUGCGAAGGCAGCUUACUACGCAUAUAUUGACGCUGAGGCACGAAAGCGUGGGGAUCAAACAGGAUUAGAUACCCCAGU
rnacentral:rRNA from 1 species